rnacentral:rRNA from 1 species
UACGUAGGGUGCAAGCGUUAAUCGGAAUUACUGGGCGUAAAGCGUGCGCAGGCGGUUGUGUAAGACAGAUGUGAAAUCCCCGGGCUCAACCUGGGAACUGCAUUUGUGACUGCACGGCUGGAGUGCGGCAGAGGGGGAUGGAAUUCCGCGUGUAGCAGUGAAAUGCGUAGAUAUGCGGAGGAACACCGAUGGCGAAGGCAAUCCCCUGGGCCUGCACUGACGCUCAUGCACGAAAGCGUGGGGAGCAAACAGGAUUGAGAUACCCGUGG